CCAACGGCCCUCUUUAGGGCCACAUUCAUUGCUCGAAUACUCUGG
rfam:Ancylostoma ceylanicum strain HY135 Acey_s0393_scaf, whole genome shotgun sequence.